rnacentral:rRNA from 1 species
GUCCAGACUCCUACGGGAGGCAGCAGUGGGGAAUAUUGCACAAUGGGGGGAACCCUGAUGCAGCGACGCCGCGUGAGUGAAGAAGUAUUUCGGUAUGUAAAGCUCUGUCAGCAGGGAAGAAGAAAGACGGUACCUGACCAAGAAGCCCCGGCUAACUACGUGCCAGCAGCCGCGGUAAUACGUAGGGGGCAAGCGUUAUCCGGAUUUACUGGGUGUAAAGGGAGCGUAGACGGUUAUGUAAGUCUGGAGUGAAAGCCCGGGGCCCAACCCCGGGACUGCUUUGGAAACUGUGCGGCUGGAGUGCAGGAGGGGUAAGCGGAAUUCCUAGUGUAGCGGUGAAAUGCGUAGAUAUUAGGAGGAACACCGGUGGCGAAGGCGGCUUACUGGACUGUAACUGACGUUGAGGCUCGAAAGCGUGGGGAGCAAACAGGAUUAGAUACCCCAGUAC